UACGUAGGUGGCAAGCGUUGCCCGGAAUUAUUGGGCGUAAAGCGCGCGCAGGCGGUCCUUUAAGUCUGAUGUGAAAGCCCACGGCUCAACCGUGGAGGGUCAUUGGAAACUGGGGAACUUGAGUGCAGGAGAGAAGAGUGGAAUUCCACGUGUAGCGGUGAAAUGCGUAGAGAUGUGGAGGAACACCAGUGGCGAAGGCGACUCUUUGGCCUGUAACUGACGCUGAGGCGCGAAAGCGUGGGGAGCAAACAGG
rnacentral:rRNA from 1 species